GCGCUGCAAUGUCAAGUGUAGAACAACAGAUUCACAAGCAUGGUGCUUACCACGCUUGCACUGGUGCUUGACCAUGGUGACGGCGCCGCUAUGCCUCCAGUCCAGCGCGUCGGGCAUGGCGUCGGGACAGGAAUGUGCCUUGCUUCACUUUCCGUGAAGUCACUCCUUUGUACUUGUAUUGUUUCGUUUUACUCAAGUGCCUUGAUACAAGAUACUUAAAGUAUUUCUCGAUUUGACCUCAUUCCUUAUUACUAGCCCACAACCGUACUUCCGGUUAAUGUGGUCUGGACUGUCAUUCAGGUGCCAUGGAAGGACUAAAUAAGAUCACGACGGGCUCUCUUCUCAGCCUUCCUGAGUAGAAACUAAUCGGUUGUGACAGAUCCCACAAUGCUGGUUGUGGCGGGUAGGCUCAUGAACUAUGCUUAUAAGUUUGUGAUUAAUAAUGGUGGGAGUGACAGGAAGGAUGACUACCCGUUUGGUGAAUCAGAUGAAGCAUGCAACAAAAACAAACUGAAAAAGCAUGUGAUAACAAUUGAUGGCUACUGAAGCGACGUCCUGCUGGUGUACAUCAGGGACGCCUGCACCAACGAUGACGCCUUCAAGGUGCUGUGGAAGUGAGGUCAGGGCAUGGGGAUCCGGGCAAGUGCGCCAAGGAGACCGACGCGUCUUACCCGCUCAUGACCCAAGCAGUGAUUUUCCAUUGCCUCAUGUAUCAUCGACCGUCGCCAGCCUCUGGUUUUAGAUGUGAACGUGCAUGUACCAGUACUUCAUAUUGCUAUAUUUUGAUUCUGACGAAAUAA